GCAUAUCAAUAAGCGGAGGAAAAGAAACUAACAAGGAUUCCCCUAGUAACGGCGAGUGAAGCGGGAAGAGCUCAAAUUUGAAAUCUGGUAGCCUUCGGUUGCCCGAGUUGUAAUCUAGAGAAGUGUUUUCCGUGCCGGCCCAUGUACAAGUCCCUUGGAACAGGGCGUCAUAGAGGGUGAGAAUCCCGUCCUUGACAUGGACCCCCGGUGCUUUGUGAUACACUUUCAACGAGUCGAGUUGUUUGGGAAUGCAGCUCAAAAUGGGUGGUGAAUUCCAUCUAAAGCUAAAUAUUGGCGAGAGACCGAUAGCGAACAAGUACCGUGAGGGAAAGAUGAAAAGCACUUUGGAAAGAGAGUUAAACAGUACGUGAAAUUGUUGAAAGGGAAACGAUUGAAGUCAGUCAUGCUCUUUGGAUUCAGCCGUUCUGCGGUGUAUUUCCAUUGAGUGGGGUCAACAUCAGUUUUGAUCGAUGGAUAAAGGCGCGAGGAAGGUAGCACUCUCGGGUGAACUUAUAGCCUCGUGUCAUAUACAUUGAUUGGGACUGAGGAACGCAGCAUGCCUUUUGGCCGGGAUUCGUCCACGUACAUGCUUAGGAUGUUGACAUAAUGGCUUUAAACGACCCGUCUUGAAACACGGACC
rnacentral:rRNA from 1 species